AUUCCUCAAUGUCUCAUUUUAAUGUAAACUAUGCGUAAGAGUUUUCUAUAAGUGGGAGUGAUCAAAUGUUGAAAAAAUGGCUUGGAAUGGCACUAAUAACCCCAAUGCUAACGUUUAUUAUAUGGGUUUUUAAUAGCCAUACUAUCAUUACAUAUUUAAAUAUAUUGUUUUAUGUUUCAUUAAUUAUUUUUAUUAGCAUUUUUUUGAUUUUACUUGUACAAGAAGGCAUUUUUGAUGCGACAAGUUAUGGUUUUAGAAGAUUAAAGUAUCAAAUGUCAUCUUCGAAAAAGAAGAAGUCUAUCUCUGAUGAUCCAUUUUUCAACCCACAAGAGGUAAAAAAAGAGCAUUACUUUGUUUCUACAUGGAUAAUACCCUUAUUAUUAAUAAAUAUUUUAUAUUUUAUUAUGACGAU
rnacentral:snRNA from 1 species